UACGUAGGGAGCAAGCGUUGUCCGGAAUUACUGGGCGUAAAGGGUGCGUAGGUGGCCAUGUAAGUUAGGUGUGAAAGACCGGGGCUUAACCCCGGGGCGGCACUUAAAACUGUGUGGCUUGAGUACAGGAGAGGGAAGUGGAAUUCCUAGUGUAGCGGUGAAAUGCGUAGAUAUUAGGAGGAACACCAGUGGCGAAGGCGACUUUCUGGACUGUAACUGACACUGAGGCACGAAAGCGUGGGGAGCAAACA
rnacentral:rRNA from 1 species